AAUAAAUAUGAAUAUUCAUAUGUUUGUUUGGUAAUGAUCUGUUUUACAUGUUUUACAGAUUGUCUGGCCACAUGAAGUCAAGAUGAACCAGGAUUUACAAUCCUUUUUAUUUCCACACUGUGACAUGUUUCUGAGUGAAACACAAUAUUCAACAAGAACACAGUUUGGGAUAUGUUGACACAGUCUUACCACAAGAAGGAAGUCAUUUGAAACAUCAUGAGGAUUGACAGUGCAUGGCAGACUAUUGCUGAACUGUCAGUUUCAGGACCAUCUUCCAUAAAUCGCACAGAUUCUGCCCUUGAUCCACACGUUUGUGCCAUAACUUGUUCUUCCACAUCAGCAGCUGGAGCAGGGUUUGGGUUUAUAUGAGAUAUUUUUCAGUGUUUGUACACUUGAAAUGUCAAAACGGUUUGAUUCUGUGCUAGAAUCAGAAUCAGGAUGAGUUUUAUUGCAUCAUCUGCACAAUAUAUUUGUCUUGCUUUCAGUGGACUGAGAACAACAAGACAUGACAAAUUCUAAAGUUGAAAACAAAAAUAUGAAUAGAAAUGCACAAUAUGACAUUAAGGCUGUAGAUUAGCAUGUGCAUUUUUGGCAAGAAGGACUAAUGUGCAAAAGUACAGGUAUUUAAAUAAAUAUGUUUUAGAUUAAGAUUGUGAAUCUGUG
ensembl:lncRNA